rnacentral:rRNA from 1 species
GUGGGGAAUAUUGGACAAUGGGCGAAAGUCUGAUCCAGCCAUGCCGCGUGUGUGAAGAAGGUCUUCGGAUUGUAAAGCACUUUAAGUUGGGAGGAAGGGCAGUAAGUUAAUACCUUGCUGUUUUGACGUUACCGACAGAAUAAGCACCGGCUAACUUCGUGCCAGCAGCCGCGGUAAUACGAAGGGUGCAAGCGUUAAUCGGAAUUACUGGGCGUAAAGCGCGCGUAGGUGGUUUUGUAAGUUGGAGGUGAAAUCCCCGGGCUCAACCUGGGAACUGCCUACAAAACUGCAUGACUAGAGUACGGUAGAGGGUAGUGGAAUUUCCUGUGUAGCGGUGAAAUGCGUAGAUAUAGGAAGGAACACCAGUGGCGAAGGCGACUACCUGGACUGAUACUGACACUGAGGUGCGAAAGCGUGGGGAGCAAACAGGAUUAGAUACCCCGGUAGUCC